AGAAGGAGUGUGGUCCACCGGAGGACUCCCUACAUUCUUCCUCCAUUACCUCACUGCCUCCGGUGGCUGCUGGGAUACCGGAGGACUCGGGUCCCGGCUCGACUCAGUCCUCCAGCCGCCCGGGGAAUACCUCUAGUUCUUCCCGGCCGCCGCCGCCGCCGCCGCCCCGCCGCUUCCUCCUCCGCCUGCCGGCCUCCUUCGCCCCGUCCCGUCCGCGCAGCGCGUCCGGCCCGCCCGCAGGCCAGCUUCUCUCGGGAGCCCCCACCCAGGCGCAUGGCUCCAUGAAGCAAGAGGAGGAGGCAGAGCGCGAGAGGUCCCGUCCGCCCCAGCCGCGUCUGGGCCAGGAUAAAAGCAAAACCAUAUUCCUGCUGCUGUCAGUUAUGAUGCACUGAGAAAACUUCAGAGACCUAAACUUUUUCCAGAGAAGAGAAGCUUUACUGGUGUUCCAGCCCUAAGAAACCUUUGUUCAAGAAAACGGCAGAUGCUCUGUUGAAUCCACUGGAGAUUGUUCUGAUACUAAGGACAAGUAUCAACCAUCUUUCCUGUGAAAAAUUCCCUCUCGUACUUUAGUUCUGUGGAUCCAAAAUUUAUAGCAUUCUUCUACCACCACAGGGGCUCAUAUGACAUUAACAGACAAGACACUUUUCAGAAAGACAGGCAACGUGUUGGACCUUCCGGAGCUUCUCAGAAGACAGAGGGUUUUCUUUUGAGGAUUUAAACCUCAGACACAGGGAGCUGACCUAUUCACCUUAGAAUCCUCUGGGGCACCCAUUACAGUGUCUGUACCAAGGAGGCAACAAAGAACGGCGGAACAGACUGGAGCAGAAGGACCACCCAGCAGAGCCAAGCCAAAUCACUGACCCUCAGAGGCCUGAUGUGAAUGCUUAUGGCUUCAGUCCAUUGGAUUCUGCAGUAAUCUGCCGAUCUACAGUAUUACCACAGUAAAUAACCGAUAGACCUGAAAACGAAUGCAUGCCUUGUGCCAAAAUUGCAGGAAACCUCACCAGGAGAAACAAUUUUAUAUGAGGGAAUGUACUCUCUCCUUUGCAUUUUCCCUCAAAUCUAUAUUUUUAGCCCCUCACUUGUCUCUACAGAGCCUCAGUUGCUUAAUCUAAUUGCUGACUGAACAUCUCCAGGAAACUGUGUGUACGUGUUUGUAUUCAUAGUAUAUUUAUUUAUUAUCUGUUUACUUCCAUGGGAUAUAGUCUCCAUAAGAGAGUAGUCAUCAUUGUAUUUGUUGAUGCUUAAUAAAUAAUCAUUGAAUGGGCCGGGUGUGGUGGCUCAUGCCUGUAAUCCCAGCACUUUUGGAGGCCGAGGUGGGCAGAUCACAAGGUCAGGAGAUUGAGACCAUCCUGGCUAACAUGGUGAAACCCUGUCUCUACUAAAAAUACAAAAAAUUAGCUCGGUGUGGUGGUGGGUGCCUGUAGUCCCAGCUACUCAGGAGGCUGAGGCAGGGGAAUGGCUUGAACCCAGGAGGCGGAGCUUGCAGUGAGCCGAGAUUGCGCCACUGUGCUCCAGCCUGGGUGACAGAGCGAGACUCUGUCUCAAAAAAAAUAAAAAAAUAAAAAACAAUAAAAUAAUCAUUGAAAGAAGGAAUCAAAGAAUGUGGUCCCGGGUUGGGUGCCCUUAGUUCAGUCCCUGAGAAUUUAUGAGUAUAAUGUUUUGCUUUUUAAAAAGUGAAAAAAGGGAGCAUAGUUUCAUUGAAGGAGAAGUUAAACUAUGACUCAGGCCCCCAAACAGUCUCACCUGACCCCAUAUGCUGCUGUUGGACUAAAAUGUCUCAAUAGAACUGUCCUUAGUCAGCCGCUUUACACCUGCUUGGAUUAGCCACUGGAUAUGAAGCUUCCCCAGAAAGUGGAGAGAACUCAGCAAGGGUGCUCUCCAUAGCUGAAGCAACCCUGGGAGGGCCUGAGAGCCAAGUCUAUCUUCCAACAGUAUUCCCAGCAAAUGGUGAAACAAGUCAUUCAUCAAGGAGGGAUCUAGGUGGCUGAUGCCUGCAUCAACCACAGUCUGCCUCUGUUCAGCUUGAAUCCAUUUCUUCAUUUGUAGUCUGAGGGUGUAAGACAAAUGCAUGUGUCUGUGUGUUCAGGAUUGUAGGAGGUGGAGGUCUGUAUGUUUAGGGUAGUGUGUCUUUGUGCAUACAAAGUUGGAGUUUGUAUGUAUGAAUUUAGGGAGUUUGAGGGGCUGUAUAUGUAUUAGGGAGGAAAGCCACCACAUAUGUUUGUGGUAGAGUUGGAGUUUUGUGUAUAAUGUGAGGAUUCUUUUGGAUUAUAUGUGUUCUGGACUGUGGGUAGUUUAUGUGGAUAUUCAGAGUAUGUGUAGGGAGCAUGUAUAUGUAUUUGAAGGAGGGUAAGGUUAUGUGAAGUAUGUGUUGAAUUCUGGUGGGAUGAGGCAUGUGUGAAUUCAUAGCUUCUGCAGGUUUUAUGCAGCUGGCCUGAGAAGGUUGGAGUGUCUAAUAUAUGCAUUUGGAGAUUGGGAGUUGGUGUGUCUGUGCAUUUAUUUGGAUCAUGGAAGGUUGUAGAUGUGUAUUUCUAACUGUAGAUGAUUGAGGAUGCAUAUUUGGGGAGUUUUGAGAGGACGUGUAUGUGUGUGUGUGUGCAGUGUGGUAUUUCUCUGUUUUUGAGGGUGGGGUAUGCAUCCAUCAAAAUAUCUCAGAUUAUCUGAUGUAAGAAAAUAAUUCUGCAUCUCAGUGACUUCCAACAAGGUAGGUUUCUCAUGUAUGUUAUGUGUCCUCCAUUGGUUGGCUUUGAUCAGUUACUGGUCCUGUGUCUUGGAUCCAGAUGGAUGGAGCAGCCUCAUUUGGGACAGGACUAGAAGGACUUCUUCUGCUCAGAGUCAUAUAUGGCAUUUCUGCUCACAUUUCAUUUGCCAUAACAAGUCAUGUGGCCAUACUCGAGUUAAACAGACUAGGGAUGUAUAAUCUCUCAGACAGAGAUACCACAGAGAAGGACCAUGAAUACUCUUCAUAGUGAUACAUCUGCCCCAUUGUGUAUACAUUCAGAACAUGUUCCAUUGCUGUGUUUAUAUUUCACUAAGGAGUAUGGGGAGUUGAUGAGGGAGUGUGUUUAGGUGUGUGAAGGCUGGUGUGUGACGAGGCAUUGGCAGGUGUGGGAUAUUUUUAUACUAACACAUUUUGGGGAUUUGUAUCUGUUUUGGGUAUUUGUAUUCUGUGUCAUGUAUAUGUGUUAUAUAUUUAAGAUAUAUAUUUAUGUAGGUAGGUUAAGUAUUCAGUGGUGUCAGAAAUGUGUUUUUAGGGGAAUAUGGGUGAGUUUUUAGUAUAUUACAGAAGCAUAGUGGGUUUUGGGUUUAUUCUGAGGGUACUGGAUAGUUAUGUGUUCCUAUUUGAAUGGUGUGUGUGUAUUUGCAUGCUGGGGGUGGUUUUGUGUAUUUUGACGGUACUGUGAGAUAUUGUGAAUAUGUGUGCAUACAUUUGAAAAGGCAGGUAAUGUUCUAUGUUUUAAUGCUUUGUGUUUUGGAUUUGUGUGUAUUCAGAGUAGAGGACUUUAUGCUUACGGUGUCUAGAUGAGAAUUUAGAUGUACAUUUUUGGUGUGAAGAAUUUGGAGGCAGAGAGAUGGCUGGGUGUAUUUGGGUGUUACCACUACAUGUAUGUAACCUGAGGAUAUGGACAGAAUAUUUAUAGUUUUCAAGAUGGAGGCUUGUGUAUGUUUGUAUUUGGGAGUAUACGGCCAUGUGUGUAUUUGGAUCUGUGAGUAUAUCGUGGGUGUGUUAUUCAAGCAUCUGCAUGUUUGAGUUUGUGUAAUCUGAAGAGUGUGAAUUUAUUCAGGAAAUGUGGUGGCUGUGCGUCCACUCUAGAGCUGUGAGUGUGUGGUCUGUGCUUCUACCAGGAGAGUAUAGGAUAAUUUCCUCUUUUUUUCUAUUUUUAUAACAUUUUAUGUAACUCAUAAAACAGUGUUUGUAUAAAAAUUCACACAAAGUUGCUAGAGAGCAUACGAUUUCCAAAAAUGUCCUGGGUUUUUCAUUACAUUAAGUUUUUCUAAGGAUGCACUCAAAUCAAUGGUAAAAUGCAGACAUUAUGUGACACUUCAUUAUCUUUAGCAAAACUAUUCUCACUACUUUGUCUCCUCACAGUAUUAACUCUGAUACCCACUUUGUGCAGGGUUUGCUAGUACUAGGAUGUCACAAAACCAUUAAGGCUGGAUCUACAAGAGGCAAAUAUUUCCAAACAGCAGUAAUAGCCCCUUGGCCCCCACCCCCACUUCAUAUAUCCAUACAGUCUGUCUACACAGUGAGGCAGGGUGCAAGCUCACCACCACUUGGGAGUCUCAAGAUCCUCCCUCUAUUGGGUGAGAAGCAAACAUUUGGGGAAAAUGUUGGAAACUGAGGCCGUCUCUACAGGAAACCACGUGGCCAUGCUCUAGUGUUUUUGGGUCAGCGACCCUUACCAAUUAAACGGCCACUCAGUACAUUCAUAACUAUCUUCAUUCUUUAAAAACUUACUAACAGAGAAACCAAUGAACCCUACCACCUACUGUGACUUACUAGUUCAGUCAACAUCAAAACGUGUCUGCUAAUUUUUUAGUCCUUGGGAUACAAGACAAAAAAAAACAAACAAGUAAAAACCAAAGAAUUUAGACAGGGGGAAGGAAAGGGAUUGCCAGUAGAUUUCAUGGAACACAUUAAAUUUUGAAAAAAAUCAGUAUUUUCUACUUCUCUUCCUUCGUGUAAAAAGUUUAAAAUAAAAAAAUGCCCACUGGAGCCACCUGUAUGGAUGGAGAAGUGAGGACAUGAUAUAGACAGGGCACAGGACCUGCAGUCGUUUCCUGACGACAGUCCAGAGGGACAGGAAUAGUUCCCAGGAUGUGUCCAUUUCUCUUCACAGAAAGGGACUGUAACAUUUUGAGGCAAGAAGCCCUACACGUGAAAGGUGUUAAGAAAAUCAUCACUGAAAUAUGGUUUCCAAAAAUUGAGCAUGCUCUAGGUUACAAACAGACAUAUUUAAUUCCUAGAACUUGUUGAACUUCUCUGACAUGGGUAGAUGGGAAUUUCAAAAGAGUUAUUAAUAAUUGUGGUUCUAAAGUUGCAGGGUCAACAUUUCACCCUCUAGAAAGCAGGGCAAUUCAGGGCUUAGAGUCUUCUUGUUUACAUCAUAGAAACCAGAACAAAUUUCAUGGGACCCCUCAGCCCCAACAACCAGCGGCCAGGUGGAGAGAAGGCCACAGCUGUCUUUGGGUAGGGAGCCUGUGUGUGCAUGCUGUGUGCAUGUGCUGGAGAGACUAAGGCAUAGAGAAGGGCCCAAGCAAUGAGGUAAAGUGAGUCUCCUGGCUGCGCUAGUCCCUUCUUUCCAGGCACAAAGAAGUUGAACUUGUUAUUCAUGUAGGCCCCCUUCCUCUCACCUCAGCUUUUAGUAAGCAGUGUGUGUGUGCACGAGUAGCUGUGUGUGACAGAGUAAGUCCCUGUGCCUUUCUAGAUUUCAGCAAUUCAGGUUUGCAGUUUCAACAGAAAUAAUCUGUAAAUGACACGAGCAAAUUUACAAGUUAGAUUAGCAACUUUACAUUGCUUAAAAUCUGAUAUUAUAUUUUUAAAAAUGCCUCUGGGUACAGGCAAAAUUAUGUCAUAUGGCCACUGGAACUGAAGUCCUUACCAGCUAUGUGAAGAAUAUUCAGAUUGUUUCUGUUAUCUCUGCAUUUUAAAGUAGCAAAAUACUAAGCCAUUAGGUUAUUGAACCUGUAAUAUUCCCACAGGGGUUUUAUGUCUACCCCAUGGGAUUCAAUUAAUUUUCCUGGACCCUGGUUAGACUGUUUCCUUUCCCUCUUAGGCAUUUGGCCCCCAAAGUUAGGUAGGUAAAAGUGUCAUUUUUAAAGAUUUUACCUGUCAGGGAAUUUCCUGGUUGGUGCUCCUGGAAAGCAUGCAGCUGGCCGGCGGGAGUCUGACAUUCUCAGUCAGUGGGGAGAGAAGACAUGUGUCUCCCAAAGCCAAGAGGUAGCCAGGUGGAGGACAGCAGGACUUUCUAGGGGGUCCAAGGGGAAAGUUCUGAGUGGACCCUGGGAAGGGACAUGGGUGCCCCAUCUGAGAUGACCUGUGUCCUUCCAAUGCCUGGUAUCCCCAAGAGGGGCCCAGACAUGGACCGCCCUGGGGAACGAGGAUGUGGUGCUGCCUGGAGGAGCUAACACUGAGGUUUGGGGAAGUCACCACACAGCUCCCAGAACCCAGAAUCUCUGACAAGCAACCAUGUGUGGAGAGGGAAUGGGGACAGUGGAAGGACACAGCUCAAAUGAAGACACUGCGGACAUGUUUCCAUGGCUUUCUACAUUCUUCAUCAUCAUCGAGUGUUCUCCUCUACACAGUGAGCACAACAUUUUACCCACGUGCCUGAUGGACAGGCCAAGCUGAAUGGAAGCCUUCUGAGGCACUGGAGCAGAAGGGAAAACUUGCACAUGGUCGCAAAGGACUUCACACUGUUCCAUCCCCUCUACUGCCAUCCAAGAGGCCUCUUGACUCUUCCAGAAUCAGAUGUAAAAGACAAGGGCAGUGGCACUGCUCGUCGUUGCUGGGGAUACAUUCGCAGUGCCACACCUCCUCCACCUUCUCCACGGGGUAGACGGCUUCCACCUAGUGGCAGAUGAGCCGCAGCUGCGUAGGGUCCAGCUGCUUCUUGUUGCAAGCCCGAAAAUUGUUGUACUGCAGCUGGAGGUUCUCGGCGGUGGAGGAGCCCCGCGGCAAAGUUGCCCACGGAGAGGCUCUGCUGCACGAUCUUGCACACCUCCUUGUCGGACAGCAGGUAGGGAGAGCGCACCGGGAAGCUCAGUGAGGGACCACCACCUCAUCCAAGGGGAUCUUGCAGAAGUCCUUGCUGCUCCUCUCGGGGGCAGCGGGGGACCCUCAGACUCCUCUCUGAACCUCUCAGGAUUGAUUGCAUAGCUCCUCAUGUCUUUACACUCGGGGCCAGCACGUGGACCUUGCACUGCUGCUGGUAGGAGCGCCUCUGUUCCUGUUCCAGUGCAGGUUGCCCAUGAACUCAAGGGUCCAGACGCGAUUGUUUUUGGUGCAGAGGUAGAGCAGGUGCACUUAGUGGCGAAUGAGCUUGAUGCAGGACGGGUCCAGCUGCUUCUUGCCCAGGGAGUCGCUGCAGCUGUGCUGCUUGUGCAGGUUGUCAUGGGUGAAGAGCUUGGGGAAUAGGGGCACCAGCAGGCGCGAGGUGAAGUUGCCGAUGGACAGGCUGCUCUCGUAGAUACUGUGAAGAUGCUCGUUGCUGAGCAGGCCGUCGGCGCCGGGCACCUCCAAGUUGGGCUGGGGAUCUCCAAUUUGACCAAGUCGAUAGGUACCAGUCAGAUCUUCUUGGAGCGGCACCGCUCGCCCUUGAAGCUAUCCUCCACCCUGAUUACUGAGAUGUCAUCGGGCAGGCUGGAGGAGUUGUAGCAGUUGUCGCGUGGGGGGCUCGCCUUCGCUGCCUGCGUCCAGCCCCAGGCCCUGAAGCUUGUCGUUGAUGCACUGGGCGCACCGCUGCAGCCAGGCCUCCUCCUCCUGCAUGUGGGGGAAGUAGACCUCCGUGAAGUUGCAGAUGAUCUGCAGCCUCUGCGGGUCCAGGUCCUGCUUGCCGCCAGGCCUCCUCCUCCUGCAUGUGGGGGAAGUAGACCUCCGUGAAGUUGCAGAUGAUCUGCAGCCUCUGCGGGUCCAGCUCCUGCUUGCCGCCGUCCCCGUAGCAGCUGUCCUGCUCGCCCAGCUUGCGGUAGUGGAAGAGCUCAGGGAAGAGCCAGUGGAGGAGGAAGACGGCAAACUCGCCUGUGAAGAGGCUUCAUGCAGGAACUAAGUGAGGGCCUACAUGUCCACCACGUGGUCUGAGGCGAUGGUGCUGCUCCAGUCCAGAGACAGGCCCUCCUCCUCGUCUUUGUGGUCCAGGAAGUGGCCGGGGUCCACUGCUCAGCCUCAAGCUGGCAGCCUGGCCACCGGGCUGGCUGUUCUCCAUCUCCCGCUGGGCCCAGAAGUGGCUGAAGAACUUAUUCAGCUGGGGCAAGCACUCGGCCUGUCACACAGCCCUCUCCUUCACCGAGGGGUAGUAGACCUCCAUGUAGUUGUGGAUGAGCUGCAGGUGCAGUGACUCCAGCUUAAGCUUGGCCUCAAAGCUGCAGGCACUGCAGCCUCGGGAGAAGUUGACUGUGGCUGAAGAGCUUGGGGAAGAGCUGCACCAGCGGGCAGCAGGCCAGGACCCCGCCUGACAGGCUCUGGUCCAAGAUCUGCUUAAGCUCCAUGCCCGUGAGCUGCUACGGGGUGGUGGGGGUCGGCUGGAAUUUGGCCACCAUCUCAGUGGGGUUCACCUUCAGGGAGAGCAGGUCCACUUUGCUGUGUAGCUGGGACCUGUUGGACGUGAGGGUGUUGAGCAUGUAGAACAUCUCCUGGAUCAGGAAGUAGAUGUUAGGGUCACUGUUGGUGGCUGCCCCAGUGCUGCCACAGUCCCACUUCUAUGGCUCAUUCAGGAGCCUAAGCAGCGAGGGGCUGUUGCUGGAAUUUGCCUUCUGGAAGAGCUCAUACGUGUUUAGCAGGUCCCCCGAGGGAGGGUUCUUCUUCUCCAUGACCUUGUGGGAGAUGCCAUACAGAGGCUUCUUGUAGUAAGGGGUGGUGGCAUGGUUGCGGGGCUCCUCCUUGCCUGGCCACACAGAGCCCGAGCUCCUGCCUUGCCGGCCUGCUCUCCAUUGCCUUGGCAGGGCGAGCUGUUCUCGGGUUCCACAUGCCUGCUAGGAGCGCCUCUGGGAUCAGCUACCUCCUCUCCACGCUGGGGAUGGAGUCUGGCUGGCCAUUGCUGACCAGCUGAGUCCUGGAGGGCAGUAAAGACGCUGUCCAGAAGGUGCUUCUCAGAAGUCCUGGAAUUCACGGAGCAGCCUAGAGCAGCAUCUUUGGCCUCUGUCUCCACUCUCACUUCUUAGAAGUUCUUCUACAUCAAUUUUUUUUGGAGAUGGUUCUGACUCUGUCACCCAGGCUGGAGUGCAGCAGUUGCUCAGAGCUCACUGCAUCCUUGACCUCCCAGACUCAAAAGAGCCUAGCUACUUAGGAGUAGCUAGGACUACAGGCCACGGCCACCAUGCCUGGCUAAUCUUUUAAAUUUUUUGUAGAGGCAGAGGUCUCUCAUUGUGUUGCCCAGACAAGUCUCAAAUUCUCGGGCUCAAGUGUUCCUCCCAAAGUGCUGGGAUUAAUGGCGUGAGCCACUGUACCUGGCCAUAUUUUUUUUUUCAAAAAAUUCAUUUGUAGAGUUUAAAAAGUAUCUUUUGAUCAAGAGUUCUUAUUGUAUUUAUGUUUGCAAAUUUCAUUUCCCAUUCUGUUGCUUGCCUUUUCACUCUCAGUGAGUUAUUUUAUGAUUACAAAUCCUUAUUUUUUAUGUUAUUUUAUUACUAUUUAUUAACUUAUUUAUCUUAUUUAUUAGCCUUCAAUCGUUACUUUUUGAGUCUUUUUUAAAAUCUUAAGGUCAUAGAAGUGUCCUCUGUAUUACUUUUUAAAAACUGUACUGUUUUAUGUUACACAUUGGCUUCUAUAUGAAAUAAUUUUUGUGUAUGUUGUGAGGUUGGAUGUUAAUAUUCAUUUUUAUCUGUACCGAUGUAUGAAAGACAGCACAAUUUAUUGAAAAUGAAUCUUUUCCUCAUUGUACUGAAGCACUAUUUUUUUCACAAAUCAGCUAAAUAUAUUGUGUGGUUCUCUUUACGAGCUCUCUAUUCUGUUUCAUUGAAAUAUCUAUACUUGCACCUUUUCCAUAAUGUCAUAAUUAAUAUACAUUUAUAAAAACUUUAUAUCUAAUAGUGUAAGUCUUCACAUUAUAUUUUUUCUUCAAAGUUAUCUAUACACUGCAUUUUUAUUUGCAUUUUAUAGUCAGUUUUUCAGUUGCCACCAAAUAUAAUGCAGACAAAUUAUGCUAUUACUAAUCACAGUAUUGUGAUUUUCAGUGUAUUACAAAUAUAGAUUUAUUUAAAAUACUGAAUCUUUCUUCUAAUACCAGGAAUGACAUAGGACUCACAGUACACCUUUAUUUCUGUUGAAUAUCUUUAAUUUCUCUCAGUAAAAUUUCACAAUUUUCAGUAAAGGGAUUGCAUAUGAUAUGUUACAUUUUAUAUUAGGAAUUCAAUGUUUCUUCCUGGAAACAUUUCAGAUUUUUAAUAUUUUAUUUGAUUUAGACUCACUACAUUUGGAAAGCUUUAAUUGUAAUUUUAUUUUUAAUAGAUAUAGAGCUAUUAGGAUUUGCUAUUUAUUCUUGUGUCACUAUUAAUGAUUUUCUAGAAAUGUAUCUAUUUCAUCAAAUUAUUUCAAAAUUUUUGACUUAAAGUUACUUAUUACAUUCUCUUUUUCUCUCCCAUGACUAUAGAAUCUAUAAUGAUUUCCUUGUUAUUAUUCAUGAUAUUUAGAAUUUGUGGAUACUCUUUUUUUUAAAUUUCAUGCAUAAUCAUGGUAUAUUUUUAUCAGUCUUUUCAAAGUAACUUUGGCUUUUGCUGAUUUCAUUUAUUUUAUGAUUGUUUCCUUUUCUCAUGCUUCUUAUGUAUCUUCUCUUUUCUAAUUCUUUGGAUUUAAUUUGACAUCACAUUUUAAAUUUUUGAAAUUGACAAUUAGAUUAUUAAUUUUCAAGCUUUAAUUUUUUAAACAUAUUUAUGUAAGCAUAUGCAUUUAUCUCCAAGCUGAGGUUUGCCUAAGCCUCCCAUCUUUUAACAAGCAGUAUUUUUACUUUCGUUUUUAUUAAAUUCAAAAUAUAUUUUAAUAUUCACUGUAAUUACUUUUUCGAUCCAUGAAUAACUUAGAAAUGUGAUGCUUAAUUUCUAAACAUUUGGUCACUUUCAAAGUCUUGCUAUAGAUUUGCAGCUUAAUAACAUUGUUGUACAAAAAACACUGUCAAGGAUUUCAAAUUUUUGGUAUUUAUUGAUUCUUGUUUUGGGCCUAACCUCAGCCUAUAUCUGUCUAUAUAGAAAACCAUCUAUCUAUAUCUAGAUAGAGAUAUGUAUUGAUAGAUAUCUCUCCCUGUCUAUCUCUAGAUAGAUUAUCUAAUCUAUCUGUAAAACUAUCUUAAAACCAUACUAAUUUAAAAAUCAAGAUUCAUCUUAAUUUAAAAAUCUUAAUUUAAAAGUUAAGAACCAUCUUUAUUUUGUGGUUCAUAUACACCAUGGAAUGUUAGGCAGCCAUAAAAGAGAGUGAGAUCAAGUCCUUUGCAGGAACAUGGAUGGAGCUGGAUGGAGGUCUUUAUCCUUAACAAACUAAUGCAGGAACAGAAAACCAAAUACUGCAUGUUCUCAUUUACAAAUGGGAGCUAAAUUAUGAGAACACAUGAACACAUAGAGGGAAACAACAGACACUGGGGCCUCUGGGAGGGUGGAUGGUGGGAGGAAGCAGAAGAUCAGGAAAAACAAUUAAUGGGUACUAGGCUUAAUAGCUGGGUGGUGAAAUAAUCUGCACAACAAAUCCCUGUGACACUAGUUUACCUACAUAACAAACCUACGCAUGUGCCAUUGACCUGAAAAUAAAAGUUAAAAAAAUUAUUAAAAAUAUGUCAGUAAAAGUCUUUAACCAACACAAGAUGGUUCAUCCCAAGAGUCAUCUUAAUUUAAAAAUCUUCACAUCUUAAGAAGCUACACGGGAGGCUGCGGCAGGAGAAUGGCUUGAACCCAGCAGGCAGGGGUUGCAGUGAAGCGAGAUGGCAACAUUGUACUCCAGCCCGGGCGACAGUGUGAGUCUCUGUCUCAAAAAAAAAAAAAAAAAAAAAAGCAACUUUGCUGCUUAAAUUGAGUAUAAUACCCAUUUACAUUUAAUGUGGUGAAUGAAAAAUUUGGUUUUCAUUUACCACCCUACAACUGAAUUUUUAAUUCCUCCACAUAUUCUAUUUGCCUUUCUCAACUAUUAUUUUAUAGAUAAAAGGACUUACAGAAAGCAAAUAUAUGAUUCAAUAUUCCAAUAAAAGUGCUUUUUAAAUUUAUAUUGAGCAUUUUAUCCUUCUUUCUUAAAAAUCUUAAGCUACACACAUUACAUAGCUAGGCACUGAUAAGAAUCUAGUACUAGAUAACCAUUUCAAAGGCAUGGAUAGAAUGCUUUCCAGGUAUGGAUUGUUUCCAUAACUCCCCUUCCAUACAUUUUAAAGCCAUUGCAUAAAAAAUAAGGAAUUUUGUAGAGAGGAGUGAGUUUAUAUCCUUUAAUAUUUUCUCACUUUAGAAGUGCAGUCUUGGAAUGAUAUAAACUCUGUAAACAGACUAUCAUGCUGCAUUUACAGAGAAUGAUAUCAUGGUGUCUAUUUUUAAGACAAGAAUAAAAAUUAUGUUUUUUUCUAAUAAUAGAAAUGGAUAAGCAGAAUUCUGGCUUCUAAUAAUGAGAACAUACUAUCCCCUAGUUUGAAAUAAGUUAGAUAAUUUAACUUUCUCAUGUUAUCUUGAAGUUAAUACAUCAUUUGUAUUGAAUGUAUCAGUGCACUACAUGAAGUCUUACAUUGGGUACCAUCCCUUUUAUCUUCCACAUAAAGUGAUUUAGUGUUUUAAUACACUUCUUUCCAUAUCUUGCAGUUUUGCAUAGCAAAAGAAGCAUGCACUUUGAGGAAAAUGCACCUUUUAAUUUUCUGUAUUUUAAAUAUUAUGGGUACAAAAUAUUUGUAUAUAAUUAUGGAGUACAUGUGAUGUUUCAAUACCUCCUUUUUGAUCCCAGAUCUUUCCUGAAUUUUUUGUCCAAUUUGUAUUGCGUUAUUUAUGUUUGAAAAGGAGUAAUGAUGUUUAGUAUAUACUGUUAUAAAAUAACUGAUUCAAAGGAUGUAAAGUAUCUGAUACUAACUAUGUCCAAAUAUGAUUUUUAAGCAAAUGUUCCUAACAAUACAUAAAUAAUAACAUGGAAUAAAAUAAAUUCAUGUAGCUUUAUGAUAAUAAUUUUACCUAAAUUAAAAAGUGUUAUGUGCAAAUAGAUGGUAUACGACACUUGGCAUGUAAUAAUGCAAUUAAGUCCAAUUGAAUAUAUUGUUUGAUUUAUUUCCACAAUCUUUGAUACAUGUAUUGUAGAUCCAAACAUCAAAAACCAUAAGUAGCCUGUAUAAUGCUUUUUUUAUUCUCUGUAAAGUUUUUAAUAUAAAUAUAUAAAAGAGCAUCUUAAAUUAUUUAAGUCAAUUAUUUUAUAUGUGGAUUUGGUAUUAGAACAUAUAUCUUCUUUAGCACAAUAAACUUUUUUAAGUGUCAGAAAUUAUAUAAUUAUAUAGUGACUUUUGUUCACAAGGUAGUUAGUUGUACGUACCUACAAGAUACUUGAAAAAUAUUUUUGUCAAGAUUGGAUGCAUUUUUCUCUUAUAGACUCUUAAAAAUGUUAACAAGCCAACACGUGAACGUACUGAAGUAUUUUUUAAUCAUCUUUUCUAGUGUUGAUAAUGAGUUGGCUGAUAUAAAGUCAUUAGAGUGGCAAUUCAACAAAUAUUUUCUAUGGCAUAACAAAUGUCAUUAACUUGCUAGUCUGUCACGAUGUUGCAAAGCUAAAGUCACAUUCAUUAGUGUUUUUUGUUGUUGUUGCUGUAGUGGUGGUUUGUUUUGUUACAUGAAGUGGCCCACUUCUUGUAUUAAAUUAUUUAUUCUUUCUGAAAAUGUUCAAUCAGAAUGUAAUAACACCUUUAAAAAUGAUUUAAAAAUGUAUUCCCAUAGGUGGGAAUUGAGCAAUGAGAACACUUGGACACAGGGUGGGGAAAAUCACACCCCAGGGCCUGUCGGGGGUGGGGGCAGGGGGAGGGAUAGCAUUAGGAGAAAUACCUAAUGUAAAUGAUGAGUUAAUGGGUGCAGCAAACCAACAUGGCACGUGUAUACCAAUGUAACAAAACUGCAUGUUGUGCACAUGUAUCCUAGAACUUAAAGCAUAAUAAAAAAUAUAUAUAUUUAUUUCUACUGAACACAAUGUCUAUAUAUUAGAUGACCUAGAACUGGUAGGGGGUUCUAAUCCAGGGGAUUGUUGAUAAACUCAGACAACUUCUGUAUUUUUACAUUGUUACUC
rnacentral:lncRNA from 1 species